rnacentral:tRNA from 1 species
GCCGAAGUGGCGAAAUGGCAGACGCGCUACGUUCAGGGCGUAGUGGACGAAAGUCCAUGUGGGUUCAACUCCCACCUUCGGCACCA